UCCUCCAGGAUGUCAUGUAGUUGGAGUCAUACAGCAUAAACUCUUUCCAUAUUGGCUUCUUUCACGCGGCAAAUGGGUCAAGUUUCUUCCUUGCCUGUUUGUGGCUUCAUAGCUCAUUUCUUUUGAUCUCUGUAAAUAUCACACUGUCUGGAUGGACCAGUGUCUUUAUCCACUCACCUAUCAGAAGGCAUCUAAACUUUGACAAUUGUUCCCUACCGGGUCUUCUCGUGGUCGGUGGCGGACAGUGGGUGUAACCAUGGAGGAGGCCGUGCAGUGCUUGCCUCGGAUCCUUGGCGGCCGGCCUCCGGGGCACUGACCAGCUCGUGUGAAGGGAACACUCCGGGUGGUCUACUGCUUAGGAUGGCCCCUAACACGCUCUUCAGGCAAUAACUUGGGAAAAUGCCAACGUUCGAGAACUCGAUACAGAACUCUAAGUCUCGAUGAUGUUUUGCCUGUCGACUUGAGCUGGAAUAUCUGACCGUAUUAGUCUACACUCAGCAUGUGACAAACCAUUUCCAAAUCCUCUAACAACAGGCUUCUAAUUCAGUAUGCCACGGGAUAAAUACUCCAGAUCUUUGACACUGAAGGAGAAAGCUUUCAGCAAUUUUAAGUCCAGGGAUGAUGAAUGUCAGAAAUGUAAUUUCUAAACUUGGUAGUGGUGCUUUUACUAAAUUCAAUUCACACCGUGAAUGUCCUUCAAAGAACAUGCAAAGAAAAUGUUUUUUAAUUCAAUUGUUUAUGACUAAAACCUAAGUUUCAACAGAAAUUCAGCUAAACUUUGAAACUCAGAGUUAAAAGAUUAAGAAAAUGUUCUGCUCUUGUGUAUGGAUAGAUGAUGAUGUUGUAGACCAAUAGCGUUUGCCGUUUGUGACCAAAUAGUGGUAAAAAGUAAGACCAUGAAUUACUGGGCUUUUGAUUAGCAUUAAAAUUCUGAAAAUUAAAAAAAAAAAGUGAGAGGGAGAGAGAAUGAAAAAAUGAAAGGAAGGGAAAGAGAAAGAGAGAAGAGGAAAGAAGGGAAGGAAAUCGGAAUUUGGAAGUUCCCUCGAGUGGCCUCACUCUCUCACGUCCCCCCGUGACGCAGGGUGACGGUUUGGGCGGCUGGGGCCCCUCGCCAGCACUUGGCCCCUUCAUUUCAGCCCUUCUGCCACCUGUGUGGUACGUGGUAACGGUUUUAACUUGCAUUUUUCUAGUGAGUAAAGAGGUUAAACAUCGUUUCCGGUACUUCUCAGUCGCAGGUGUAUCUUCUUUAGUGAAACGUCUGUUCGAAUGUUACGCUCGUUUAGAAAUACAGCCUUCAGCCGCCAGCUCCCAAAUGGGGUUCGUAUUCACCCCCUCCCACACUGUCUAGCUCCGAUCCUCAUUUUCUCUUAUGGAGACUCCCUGCCCGUCUCCCAGCCACGGCCCCCGCCACCUGCACUGCGCCCCCGCCACGCUACCAGAGGAAGCGCGUCCACGCGUGGGGCUCACGUCCUCCCGUGCAGGCAUCGCCAGAGGGUGCCGAGCGUCAGGGUCUUUCCAUCGUCCUUCAGCCGCCACGUGGGCACCUUCUCGAUCUGCUGCUCCCUGUCCGUUUCACCCUGGCGCCCAUCCCCUACCCCUCUUCUCACUUUAUUUUCACCGACAUCAGCCUAAAUGCAGCCCCGGGAAAGCCUCCUUGGAAGAGCAGGGGCUCUCCCACGCUUUCGGCCCCUACAGGUAUGACUUCUGCCGAGACUGUUUCUCCUCGAGUCAUAUUGGAGCCACACUCUCUGAGCAGACUGGAGGUCCCUCUGCCCUCGUAAUUUUCCAUAACGCAAACAUCCCGUUGUAUUCUCAUGAAAGGUCUUCGGUUCUGGUGAGCCCGCCCUGUCUCGAGGGUCACCUCGAAGCAAACCUCUGAUGAGCUCUUGUGGAGAGAAGUGUCCGAAAUCACCCAGGCCAAAGAAAUGCUGGGAAGGGUGCUGUUCUGUGACACCCACCGGUCUCAUGUCGGGUUCCCACACCAUCUCGUGUUUCUUGCUUCUUGGCCUUUUGUGAUUAUUUUCUAGGAUGGACUUGAUUUCACCUUCUAUCUCUUCUACCACAUUUUUGUUCUCUCAUUUCCGAGAGUCACUGUCCUCGGAUAAUUUUGCUUUCAUGGCGUCCUGUUGUUAAUGCGGGUAUGAUAAACUUAUAUUUUUAAAAACAGCUUCAUUGAGGUGUAAUGGACAUUCAGUGAACCACAUGUAUUUAUAAAGCGUAUAACAUGAUGCAUACAGAUGUGAAACCGUCGCACAAGCAAGAUAAGGAGCACCAACCCCGAAUGUUUCCUCUGGUCCUUUUGUAAAGCCCCCAGCCGAGCCCCCGCCCGCAGGCAAACGCUUCCCAUUCCUAAUACAGCAUGCGUUCUUUUUUUGUCUCGCCCCUUUCCGUCAGCAUGGUGACGCUGAGACGUUAUUUUCUUGCUACUGUUCAUAGUUUCUUCCUCUCUUCCUGCACAGUAGUAUUCCAUCGUAUGGAUAUACCACAAGACAGUUAGUCAUUCACCUGCCUAAGGACAAUUGGGUUGUUUCCAGUUUGGGGCUGUUGCAAAUAAAGCUGCUAUGAUCAUUCCCGUAAAUGCCUCUGUAUACAUUCUACGCUUUCAUUUCUCUUGGGCAGUUACCUAGGAGUGAAAUAUUUGGGUCAUAUAGCAAGUGUAUGUCUAACUUUUAAACUGCCAGAGUGUUUUCACCAUCUCACAUUCCCACCAGCAGGUGUGUGUGAGUUUCAGAGUCUCUGCUUCCUCACCAAGCCUUCGUUGGUCGUUUUCUCCGAUUUCAGUUAUUCUAAGGGACGGGGAGUGUGGUGUGAUUGGCGUUUCCCUAAUGACUAGAGGUGGUAAGCGUCUUUGCACCUACUUACUGGCCUGCCGCCUGUAUGUAUUCUUUGAUGAAGAGUCUGUUCAAAUCUUUUGCCCGUGGUAAAGAUUGUUCUGAAGUUUUUAUUGUUGAAAUUUGAGGGUUCUUUGUGGAUUUGGAUGCAGAACUCUUAUCGGACACGCGAUUUGUCAGUCACACCAGCAGUCCAUUCCUGAACAUUGCUGGGUCACAUUCCAGGGCACCGCAUCCCUCUGGCCACUCACCUGCAGAGGCCCAGCCUCCCCUGAUGUUACAAUUUGUUUCUAAAACAUUUCCCUUUUGCUUCUGGAAUGAUGUUUUCUUCAGAGGCAUUUGCUUUUCUUCCACGAUGUAACCUUUUCUAAGUACCUGGCGAUCCCUGACCUUCAGUGCACAU